rfam:Sutterella parvirubra YIT 11816 genomic scaffold Scfld119, whole genome shotgun sequence.
GGGGGCGCCUUGGCUUCGACGGGGACGCGGACGCUGUGUGGGGCAUGCCGAGGUGCAGUCACCUCGUAAAUCCGCUGCAAACCAAUAAACGCCAACAACAAGCGUUUCGCUCUCGCCGCUUAAUGGCGGGAUGCUGCACCGGUUCGGUCCUGGGCCGGGUCAGGCAACUGACGGCAGCAUCAUUUGACAGGAUCUAGGUCGUCCGUUGGCUGUCGCCGGACGUCCGAAACUUAGAUAGCUGGCUGCGCACCGGCCCGCCGAUCGGCAGGGUGCGCGGUAAGACCCAAAUCUUUCGGCUACGCAUGUAGAACCAACAGAAAAAGGUUUCCGGACGCGGGUUCAACUCCCGCCGCCUCCACCA